rnacentral:lncRNA from 1 species
UACCCUGCGAAUCGAUAAUGUGAUUUAGCUAACAAAAAAAUUGGCCUUGUCGAACCUUGAUCUUAAGCUUGGCAUCUGUCAUUUAUCCAAUUGGUAAAAUCCUAUGGCUCAUCUGGGAAGUUGCAUAGCAGAGAGAUAUAGAGAAGCUUCGUUACCUUUACUUGCAUGCUUUGCUAAGUAAUCUGCCACAUAAUUGGCCUACCUAAAGCAGUGGGUGAACUUGACAUUAGUAUGUUUCAACUUUUGUGAAGUUACAUCAACUAUACUCUUCAUUUUGUAGUUGUUGGUAGUCUCUUUUUUGAGCAUUCUUAUAACAAUUAGAGAAUCUAUAUCCAAAGCAAAGUUCGUGUAUCCAUUAUGCAGGUACCAAUUGACACCAAACUCGGCAGCUAAAGCUUCAGAGACAUUGUUACUGCUACAGGUGAUUGGGCAGGAGAAGGCCAUGAUACAUUCCCCACUUUCAUCUCCUAGAAUACCCCCUAUUCCGGCCUUGCCGGUUUGAAUUAUAUAACUACCAUCCGUGUUCAAUUUGAGAGUACCUGUUUCAGGUUUUUGCCAAACAACAAUACACUUUGGGAUAGGCUGCAUUCUCAUCAUUUUAUCACACAGGUUGAUCCAUGGUAAUAUCAGGUUGCAAUUAGGGAACUCCUUAUUGAUAGCUAGUUGUACAGUCAAACUAAUUUGUUGUUUCAUUCUGAAAAGCUUAAACCUUUUUUGAUCACCAUACUUGCAAGCACAAUUUUCCUUCCAAAUCUCCCAGCAAAUUAUAAUUGGAAGUGCCUGAAAAAUAAAUUUAUGAAUUGUAUUAGUAGCUUUACAUUGCCACCAUGAGUUUAGAAGAUACCUUAUAGGCCAGUUGUGAUGCUUGAUACCCAGUGGAGCUCCGAAAAAAUUCCAAAUAUAAUUUGCAG